rnacentral:miRNA from 1 species
UUAUUCAUUCACAAAAGCUUUA